rnacentral:misc_RNA from 1 species
UUCUUCUUCUUCUUCCUCUUUCUUGUUGAUUGAUCAAAAUGGCUAAUAAAGUAACUUUAUAUCAUGAAACCAGUAAUCUUGAAACUGGUGGAGAUGAAACACGCUUGUAGUUACCUCUAACAGGGAGUAACUACUUGUCUUGGAGCAGAUCCAUGGAGAUUGCUCUGAGCGCUAAGGAUAAAUUGGGAUUUAUCGCUGGUAAAUGUGAAGCACCUGAAGCUGGAACAACAGCUUUUGAGAAAUGGAAGAGAGCUGACAGCAUGGUCAUUGCCUGGAUUUUGAAUUCUCUUUCCAAAGAUUUGGCGGAGGCAUUCAUUUAUGCAACCUCUGCUGAAGAUUUAUGGGAAAAGAUCAAGGAGAGGUUUGGGGAAAGCAACGGGCCAUUGAUGUAUCACCUGAAACAUGAGGACCUAGUGACUGAGGAGGUGGCGGCAGUUGGAAAGUUGCAAGGAGGGCUCGACAGACUAAGACAACAAAUCUUUCACUUCUCUAGCUACCCAUAUUAGCUUAAAUAAUUGUACUAUUGUCAAAAAUCAUGUAAUCUCUUCAGUAUCACCGCCUGUAAUAAAAGAUAACUCGUAUGAGCUAUGGCAUUAUAGACUUGGUCAUGCAUCUAGAAAAAAAUUGUUACAUUUACCACAUUUAGGAAUUCAAUUGAGUAAUCAUCAAGUGUGUGAAAUUUGUCCAACUGCGAAACAGCGAGGAAUCUCAUUUUCUAAAAGUCAUAUAUCUACUACAUCUAUUUUUGAAUUAAUACACAUUGAUUUGUGGGG